rnacentral:RNase_P_RNA from 1 species
UGAGUUGGUCAGACGAUCGCUGUCGCAGUGCGGCAGAGGAAAGUCCGGGCUCCAACGGGUCAGGGCGCCAGGUAACGCCUGGGGGGCGCGAGUCCACGGAAAGUGCAGCAGAAAGGAAACCGCCUGCUUGCAGGUAAGGGUGAAAAGGUGCGGUA